rnacentral:rRNA from 1 species
UACAGAGGUCCCAAGCGUUGUUCGGAUUCACUGGGCGUAAAGGGUGCGUAGGCGGUCGGGUAAGUCUGAUGUGAAAUCUCACAGCUUAACUGUGAAACUGCAUUGGAUACUAUCCGGCUCGAGGAAUGGAGGGGAGACUGGAAUACUUGGUGUAGCAGUGAAAUGCGUAGAUAUCGAGAGGAACACCAGUGGCGAAGGCGAGUCUCUGGACGACUCCUGACACUGAGGCACGAAAGCUAGGGGAGCAAACAGG